GCAUAGAUAGCACAGACGUUGAGGCGUGAUUGCGGGUUCCGCUCAGGUGCGUCGCCUCCCCAGCAGCGGCGCUGCAGACCACGCCCCGCCACACACAUUAACCAGUGGAAGCUCAUUUUCCUCCUCAGUCACCUGGUCUAUGAGCAGAGCUACUAUGGCAGCGGGAAAAGGUCUGCACACUAUAAACAGGAGAGGAUAUGACACCAGAGCUGCAGCAUCUUCUACUUUUCUAACACACAGUUGUGAUCGCCACAAGAAUCUGAGAAGAAUCU